UUAAUAAGUGGAGGAAGAGAAWCUAACAAGGAUUGGUUUAGUAACGGCGAGUGAAGCACCAAAAGCCUAUUAUAUCAAAUGUUACAUGUAAUGAGUUGUGGUAUGUAAGCUAUUUCAUUGAAUGUGAAGGCCCAGUCCUCUGGAAUGGGGCAGCACAGAGGGUGAGACUCCCUAACGCCUUCUUUUAAGAGAAAAUGCUUUGAAGUCGAGCUGUUUUGGAUUACAGUUUUAAAUUGGUGGUAAAUUUCAUGAAAGGCUAAAUAAUAGUAGGAGACCGAUAGCGAACAAGUACCGUGAGGAAAAGAUGCAAAGUCGCGCGAAAGCGCUGUCAAAGAGUACCUGAAAUUGCUGAAUAGGAAGCAAAGGAAACCAGUGGGAGCUUUUGUUUCAUCCUGGGUUGCUUGCAGUUCAGGUUAGCAACAAGUGUUGUUCAACGAUUUACCACAUCAGUUGAUUAUAAUAUUUC
rnacentral:rRNA from 1 species